UGGUGCAUGGUUGUCGUCAGCUCGUGUCGUGAGAUGUUGGGUUAAGUCCCGCAACGAGCGCAACCCUUGUCUUUAAUUGCCAUCAUUUAGUUGGGCACUUUAAAGAGACUGCCGGUGUUAAGCCGGAGGAAGGUGGGGAUGACGUCAAGUCCUCAUGGCCUUUAUGCCCAGGGCUACACACGUGCUACAAUGGGCGGUACAAAGAGAAGCAACCUCGCGAGGGUGAGCAAAUCUCAAAAAGCCGUUCUCAGUUCGGAUUGAAGUCUGCAACUCGACUUCAUGAAGUCGGAAUCGCUAGUAAUCGCGGAUCAGCAUGCCGCGGUGAAUACGUUCCCGGGCCUU
rnacentral:rRNA from 1 species